rnacentral:rRNA from 1 species
UAGUCCACGCCCUAAACGAUGCUAACUCGAUAUUUGUCGUAGGAUGAGUGUCUAAGCGAAAGCGAUAAGUUAGCCACCUGGGUAGUACGUUCGCAAGAAUGAAACUCAAAGGAAUUGACGGGGGCCCGCACAAGCGGUGGAGCAUGUGGUUUAAUUCGAUGAUACGCGAGGAACCUUACCAGGGCUUAAAUGUAAGUUGCAUUAGCUAGAGAUAGCUAUUUCUUCGGACUACUUACAAGGUGCUGCAUGGUUGUCGUCAGCUCGUGCCGUGAGGUGUCAGGUUAAGUCCUAUAACGAGCGCAACCCCUGUUGUUAGUUGCCAGCGAGUCAAGUCGGGAACUCUAACAAGACUGCCAGUGCAAACUGUGAGGAAGGUGGGGAUGACGUCAAAUCAUCACGGCCCUUACGUCCUGGGCUACACACGUGCUACAAUGGUAGGUACAGAGAGCAGCCACAACGCGAGUUGGAGCGAAUCUAUAAAACCUAUCACAGUUCGGAUCGG